CCUACGGGGCGCAGCAGUGGGGGAUAUUGCACAAUGGGGGAAACCCUGAUGCAGCGACGCCGCGUGUGGGAAGACGGUCCUCUGGAUUGUAAACCACUGUCCCCAGGGACGAAAAUGACGGUACCUGGGGAGGAAGCCCCGGCUAACUACGUGCCAGCAGCCGCGGUAAUACGUAGGGGGCAAGCGUUAUCCGGAUUUACUGGGUGUAAAGGGAGCGUAGGUGGCAUGGUAAGCCAGAAGUGAAAACCCAGGGCUCAACUCUGUGGAUUGCUUUUGGAACUAUCAAGCUAGAGUGCUGGAGGGGU
rnacentral:rRNA from 1 species